AAAGUUCAAGGGGGCCGAAUAAUUUCGCAAGGCACUGUAUGUCUGAUGAUUUUUUUCUACGAACAGUAUGCACUGUAUAAGGACACUGAAAUUGUAAGACACAGUUUUUUUUCAACAUGCUUCAAACUUUACAUUGGAUACAAACAUACAAUUGGUUUACAGUAAACUUGAAAAAAUGUGUCCUUUUUCAAGUUUUUUUUAAUUACAUUUAUAGCAGUCAAUACAAACUGAAAACCAUUGGCAUAUAAAAUAUUAAUGGAUAAGAGCAACAAAAUACACACAAUAAGAGUACAAGUAUUUAAAUUGAUAAUGUCCUGCUGUCCUAAAGGAACUCAUGGGAUUGGUGACCUAAUGUACCGUUCAGUUCUAGACUUAGUCUCUGUGAAUUGGGCAGGGGGUAGCUAGUCUGAAUUAAGAUUUUAGUAGGUGAAGUCAGUGCAGAGUUGUGUCCGUCUUGAAGCCGUGUUAGGGACAGGGUCUUAAGUGCCUCAGUAUAACUGAAGUAUCCUCCUAAGAUGGUGUGGUAGAUUUCCUGUGAAUGUCCCUGAUAGGACCUUGCACUUGUCAGGGUUCAGUGUCGUGCUGUGGUGUGGUGUGCUGAUGUUUGUUGUUGUGCAAGUGUGGACCAGAUUUAGUUCUUCGACAUAUUUCCACCAGGUGUCAACAUCCCGAGAGCAUCCAGAAGACUUCCUUGAGCCACGCCCCCAUCAGCUCCUGCCAGUCUGAGAAGCUGUCUUGGUUGAGUUCAUACUGGUACAUAGCUAAAUACGAUAUGGAAAAUGGUAUUUGCCCUCUAUUAGUCCUUCUAUCAACACUUCAAAAAUAUCAGUUUUGAGUAGUAUGUCAUAUAUUUUUUGCUAUUGGAUUAAGUGUUAGGCUCACCGUUUAGUACUUUUAACUAUCAUUAUCUGAUGUAUUGGUGACUAAGUGAAAUGUUGUCAUUGUAUUUCGCAUAAAUUUUGUAUGAAUGACUCAGGGGUUAAAGAUGUGUUCAACUGCUCAAUGCUCAAUCAAAGGUCCUGAACAUAAGACAGAGGGCAUUACAAGUGUUAUCAGUUUAGACUUUGGUACUAAGUUUUAGAAAAUACACCACUUACACCUGAAAUGUGCCAAAGUGAUAUUUGGCAAACCGUAAUCUGACAUUUUUAUGGCGGUUUUGGAGCAGUGGCUUCUUCAUUACUGAGCGGCCUUUCAGGAUGUGUCGAUAUAGGACUAGUUUUACUGUGGAUAUAGAUACUUUUGUACCUGUUUCCUCCAGCAUCUUCACAAGGUCCGUUGCUGUUGUUCUGGGAUUGAUUUGCACUUUUCGCACCAAAGUACAUUCAUCUCUAGGAGACAGAACGCGUCUCCUUCCUGAGUGGUAUGACGGCUGCGUGGUCCCAUGGUGUUUAUACUUGUAUACUAUUGUUUGUACAGAUGAACGUGGUACGUUCAGGCGUUUGGAAAUUGCUCCCAAGGAUGAACCAGACUUGUGGAGGUCUACAAUUUGUUUUCUGAGGUCUUGGCUGAUUUCUUUUGAUUUUCCCAUGAUGUCAAACAAAGAGGCACUGAGUUUAAAGGGAUUGUCUGUGCUGCAUGUGUGCCAAGAAUGAGCAGGGAAGAAUAGCUAAAUUAAUCUCCGAUGUUGUAGUCUACACAUCUCCAACCUGCAACUUCCUGGAGGUUAUCACAACUCUGAAGACGACGGGUCAGAAGAUUUGUAUGGACCCCACACAACCCUAAGCCAAAAGAACUUUGAAGGGAUUGCAGUUAUCGUCAGACUCCACUUGAAUAAACAUAAUUUCAAUGCAUCCUCCUGAAUGAUGUUAUGCUGAAAAAGUUGUACUUUAUGACACAGUAUUUCCACAGCAGACAGUUGUAAGUAAAUGGUGCUGCUUAUCAAAGAGCUAAAUGUGUCAGCCUUUUGACAUUUCAUAUCUGAUAGAUGUUUGAUAAGUAAUGACUCAUUCUUUCCACCCUGGAAAUGUAUAUAUAUUUAUAUAUAUAUUUUUGGUAUGAUUUCUGCUAACUGGGCGAAAUCAAAAAUGUUACAUUUUGAU